rfam:Nakamurella multipartita DSM 44233, complete genome.
GGGCGAUUAGCUCAGCGGGAGAGCGCUUCCCUGACACGGAAGAGGUCACAGGUUCAAUCCCUGUAUCGCCCA